UACAGAGGUCCCAAGCGUUGUUCGGAUUCAUUGGGCGUAAAGGGUGUGUAGGUGGCGCCGUAAGUCGGGUGUGAAAUCUCGGGGCUUAACUCCGAAACUGCAUUCGAUACUGCCGUGCUUGAGGACUGGAGAGGAGACUGGAAUUUACGGUGUAGCGGUGAAAUGCGUAGAUAUCGUAAGGAAGACCAGUGGCGAAGGCGGGUCUCUGGACAGUUCCUGACGCUGAGGCACGAAGGCCAGGGGAGCAAACGGG
rnacentral:rRNA from 1 species